rnacentral:rRNA from 1 species
UACGAAGGGGGCUAGCGUUGUUCGGAUUUACUGGGCGUAAAGCGCACGUAGGCGGAUCGUUAAGUCAGAGGUGAAAGCCCGGGGCUCAACCCCGGAACUGCCUUUGAAACUAGGUAGCUAGAAUCUUGGAGAGGUCAGUGGAAUUCCGAGUGUAGAGGUGAAAUUCGUAGAUAUUCGGAAGAACACCAGUGGCGAAGGCGACUGACUGGACAAGCAUUGACGCUGAGGUGCGAAAGCGUGGGGAGCAAACAGGG